ensembl:lncRNA
GAUGGGUUUAUUCAGCGUGGCCCAAGAUGCUUUGGAGGGGGCAGACAAAGGUUUUAUACAAGAACUCAGGAGGAGGGGUAUAGGAACAGUAACUAAUAGGGGAAUAGCAGGGGAGGAGUUUAAGGCAGGACUAACAUAUCAUAAACUUAUCAGGGAAAACAAGGGAGUGGAGUAAGACAAAGUAACCAAUAGGGUGUUGAGCCUCACUAAAUAGACAGGGACUGUCCUGGGGAAAGGGGCAGGGAAAGGGAGGAGUCACAUCUUGGAGAGAAGGGGGUUAGGAAUGAGCUGGGUGGGGGUAUGAACAGACACUGAAAGAAUAAAAAACACGCCACCACAUCUCUCCCCCUUUCUUUUUACAAAAGGAAGGAGAGUUCUGACGUUUAAACAAAUUAGUACCACAUAUAAAUAAUAUAAACUUCAUAUACAAAACACAACAAAAUCAUAUAGUAACAUUACAAAUUACUAAACGGAAAUAAGUUGAAAAACAUCAGAAAAAUACAAAUUAAUUAUGAUUACAAUAAAACAACUUAAUAUAAAGCGUAUAAAAUUGUCAUAAACAAAUUCUGAAUUCGGGGUAAAACACUCAGCAGGAUUCAUAGCUUGAUUUGAUUUGAAACUUGGGCUGUCGCGGCACUUGAGAUGUUCGCCUUCCCGAAAUUCGUAUAGCAGAGUUAAGGCAGCGAGCGGCGACCUGGUUUAUCCAAUUUCAUUCUUUAUUUGUAGAGUGGGCAUAUUACCGUGGGUAUGAACUAAAUGGGAUGAUCUUUCUAUAAAAUAUAACUCAACAAAUAGAUUAUUCCAAAAAUAAUCAAAAACAAUAAAGAGAAUUUAUAGCGAAAUAAAAGGGAACAUUGGAUAGGGUACAUUAAGGAAUGGGAUAGGGGAAUCAGACAAUCACUUGAGUAGUGACUGUCAUGAUUGAUAAGGGGAAUCGGUAAGGGGUAGACCAGGGUGCCGCCAUCUUAGGGGGAAGACAAAAUGGCAGGUUUCCGGUCCGGGGUUUCAGCCCCACCUUCCCUCAAAGGAGACCCCCACCGAGAAGGGGAGUGAUCUUCUAAGAAGGAGGGUCCUCUGAUGAGAGGUCCUCGACAGCGCUCCGUCCCACCAGAGGAGGAGCCAGAAGAAGGAUUAGGGAAUAUCCAACCCCGCCUCCCAACAACAGGGACUAGCCUCGCGGCAAUUUUGUUUGCCGGGGCCCUUGAGGAGAGGGUGGGGCUGGCGGGAAACCAGGGGCGGAACAGAAGGAUUAGCGCGGGUAAACAUGUUCCAAGUGGCGUGGCCAGCGCCAUCUUGUAAGGGGGUGCCAGGUGCACUGCGCCCCCUCCAGAGGUGGCGCGGCCAACACCAUCCCCAAGGGAAGACAGCAGAGCCCGGCAGGGCGCCUGGGGCGGUUUGGCCACGGCCAUCCCCAAGGGAAGAUAGGGAAAAGUUUAGGAAAGUCCUAGGGGAAGAGGGUAUGGGGAGCUUCACAGAAGCAAAAAAGGGGAAUAUACAGGAGGGGAGCCCGACACAGCUGGAUGUCGACGCAAUGCGUGGGUGUAAAGGGCCUCUUUUACCAACCCUCCUAUAGUUAACAUGCCGCCUUCUAAACAUUUGUCCCACUUGUGUCUUUUCUACCCCCUCCAUCCAGCCCAGAUUGGGGAGGAAAGGAUAGAGAAGACGACUUUUCGAGGGGAAGAAAAAGCAAUCAAAUAUGGGUCCCCAUAAAAGACUAGGUGAGGAGUGUCUGGGACCUCCCCCCACCCCAGAAACGAAAAAUCCACUCGCCCGCCGGGGACAUGCAAGAAUACAGCCCCCGUCUGAGCACGGGCGAGGGUUAAAACGCAAAAAGAAAAAUGGGAAACCCAGCCACCCAGCAGAGCGGACCCCACCCCGUUUUAGCCCUCCUUACCCUCUGGGGCCCUGGUGGAGAUGACUUGAUUCUUCUCCUCGACUUGGUGGAAAAGUCACACCGAACAGGGGACGUUCCUCCUCGGUUUGGCCCUUCCAGGGGCCUGGGUGUUCUCAGGACCUGCAGGCAGGUUCAGCCAAUUCUGGCUGCACCCAAGGCUCGUCCCUGAAGCUUUGGGCUCGGCCACUAUCAGCCCUCUGGUGGUCUCGUUCUGGUGCUGUCCCCUGACGCGCCAUUCUUCAGGCUCCCUUGAGCCGCUGCCAAACCAUCCUCUUUGUCCUGGGGUGGGUCUACCCCCCCUUAAAGCCCCUGCAGCACGUCUGCCCCAGUGCAGUACGGCUGAACUCAGCAGGGGUAGAGAGCGCGGAGGCAAGGACAAAGAAGGUCCCAGAGCCAAAUCUUCUUGUCGCUCAGCGCUCGGCUCCUCUUAGCGUUCUGCAGAGCUUCUACAACACCAGAUGUUCCUCUUCCCUCCUUCUUCCUCUGCUCCUUCACCCAGUUACACAUCUCUUCAACCACAGCACACCUUCUGCAAAAGAACUGUUUGUUGGCCCUGCCUGAGAGGCAUCAGACACUUCUGGAGAGAUACAUCUGUCAUCAGCUGGUCUGCUGUCCAGCUGGAGGCCUCUGACACGGCUGGGUCAGUGACUCCAGCAGCUGCAGCGGAAUGAGCUCUGUGGUGCAGCAGCACUACAACUGAAGCUUAUGCUAAUAUUAGAUUAGGUUAAUAAGGCUGAGGCUGAAAGGAUCUUUUCAUGGCUCUUUCCCACCAGUUACUGAGUCUGUUUAUCUGUCUCUAUUAGGUCCUUCCAGAUGGUCAAAGGAGCCUUUCCUGGUCACCCUGCUGUACCAUGUUCCUGUUCACUGCACUCUCGGUUGCUGACACGCCUUAGAGCUGAUUAAAUCUGCUGCACUGUUCCUGGCAAAGUGGCUGACUGGUUGCCCAGGGCUUCUGGGUCCAGACAGGGCUUGGGGCUGCUGUUCAGGUGCUGCUGAGCUUGGAAAUCCCAUGAACAGCAUGGGAUUCCAAAUCCACCCAACCAGUCACUACUGCUGCCUCACCGACUGACUUUUGUCCACAAGUUGCAAGGCAGCAAACACUACAAGCAUAAACCCUGUCUGUCAGUUUGAUAAAACACUUCCUCUACUAGUUCUUGGAUUUCUCUUCCCUCUCUGUAGGGGAAAGUAAAGCUCCCAGUAAGUCUUGUCCCUCUGAUAGGGGAGGAUGGCAGGAUGCUCCAGCAGAAAUGUGCUUUCCUCCUCCCUUCACUAUCAUGAGCCAUGGGCCCACUCCUGCACUGCAGCAUGGCUUAUCCCCACCCACUCCUUUGCUGUGGCUGACACGCACCUGCCUGCUGUGCCAACAGGCUGACAUGCACAGUUCCUUAGGUGGCAGAACAUCCCCACUCCCUCUUGCUGCAGUUCCUGACAUGGUUUCCUGUGUUGCCAGGUGGGCACCAGAACCAGCAUGGAGAGGAGAAUGCAGUGGGGAGCAGAGCAGCCUGGCAGGCAGUGAGAUCAGUGGGCAAGUACACCACCACCUUUAUGUGCAAAACAGAAUUGUCUGAAAACACAGCUUUGUAAGACCCAGGGAGUCAAAUUAGCAACUCUGACACCACCUAUGGGCUUUCUGCUCUCUGGGUCACUCUGGCCCUUCUAUAAACUGUUUUCUAGGUUUCAGCUCACUGCAAAAGAAGAGAACAAAAUUGCGGAGAAAGCAUGGGGUGGUGGUGGUGGUUUUAUUGUGCUUAGCAAGUCAGAUCAGCUCAUGGGAGGGUCUGACAAGCAGUGGCCAGGAAAGAACAGCAGUGGCCAAGAAAGAACAGCACCUUUAUGAGCAAGAGAAAAAGGACAAAUAAGCAGCAGAGCACAAACACACACACACACACACACACACACACACACACACCCCCUCUUUCCUGCUCUCCUUCCAGAGUGUCAUGGAAGCUGCCUGGGGAACCACACCCCCUACACUAGGAAUAUUGCAAGUACCCUUGAAUCCAGCUUCCUCCACAGAUCAAGAGGUCCCCAUAACCUCACAGAGAGCUGAGAAGAGUCAGCUCAGGAGAGAAGGGAUCCUCAGAGUGAUGGAGGAUGAAUUCCCUCUUCAGCAGACUGCUGAUCACUGCUCUGAUCCCUUACCAAGCAGUGAAGACACAAAGAAUGUCACUUGAAGUCGUCCUGAGCAUCAUCAUGAAUCUUGCACAAAUUAUAUAGAGCCUGAUGCCACUAUCUGAGAGCUCUGCUGGUUACCUCCUACUGAAAUAGUCAGCCUCCUCUGGCAGUGAAGGAUUUCCAAAUGAAUGUGACAAGCAAAGUUCAAGCUUGGAAGCAGACCACGUAAUGCAAACACCACAAAGCUUUGCAUUCUGAAAAGGAGAUGAUGCCUCAGCAGCUAAGCAGGGCACCCUGGCUGCUCCAACCACUACCCAAUUUGUAACAGCACAGCGCUUCACAGCUCCUCCUCUCUCAUGAGCUUAUGCCAACCACAAAUUCACUGGGAGGCUUGCUUGGACUUCUGCAGUUAAAUACUGGUUUCAUCCUUCUGAAAGCAGCUUGCAGACAGCAGCAAAAAUUAAUGUGGGAAUAGUUGCCCCUGUUUAUACCAGCAAAAGUCCUCUUGCAGAAUUAGAAGCAAUGGAAGUUGCCACAUGCCAGGAAACUUGCAGUGAAUCACUGAAAUCAGGACUGGGAGAGGCUUAAAGGCACACAGGACUGGCACGGCUAAAACCAGUGGAUCAAGAUGGCCUCAAGAUGACAGUGCACUGUGCAGGUACAGCUGAGGGGCCCAUAAGCAUGGUUCCAAAAUGGGCUUCAUACACAGGAUUAGGGCAACUGCCUGCACUACUGUAUUUUUUAAAAGCAAGCUGAUACCAAAGGGGUCAGCUUCCAUAAAAGACUUAGUAACUACUGUGAACUAUGAUGAUUAGCAUUACAUAUUGUUACACAAUUCAAGAGGAUAGUCAUUCUUACAAGCUGUGCCCAUUUUAAGCACAGGAAAUUAAAUAAAAAACAGUCCCAGUUACAGACAACUGUGCAAUCUGGUAGAUUAAAUGACAUAUCUAGAAUUUAGGUUUUAAUUUUAUGAACUACCUUAUGGACAGCUAAAUACCAAUAUACAGUAAUAUCAACAGCAGACAUCUGAGAACCUAAUGAUGCAAAUGGUUAAAUCUU